ensembl:lncRNA
GUGGUAUAAAUAUUUUGUUAGUUUGAAAUAGACCUUUAUGAUUUUAAACUUUCAUCAUUUAAAGAUACACAAGUUAAAUUUAAGUUGUAUGGACUUAGCUUAUAUUUUAAGUAUAGUUAAAUUAGACCUUUAUGACUUUAAAUAUUUACCAUCAUUUCAAGAUACAUAGCAAUUUAGAAAUAUGAGACUUAGUACAGUUUAAUUUAAGUUGCAUAUAGAGCUAGAUAAGUAUACAGUUAAAUUACAGGUGUAGAGACAAGCAGGACUGGAUAACAGUAAAGGGGGAACCAGAAUGCAAUCUCUGAUCCGUACAUUGUAGCAAAUAGACAGGAGAUUUAAAGGGACAGAGUAGACUUAAACAGAGGGACCUGGAAAGGCACAGUAUUUAGUAAACAAGCCAUGAACAACAGAGCCAUUGAAAGAAGAAAUCACAGACCAAAAAUAAAAUAAAAUAAAAAGCAAAAAGAUCUGGCAAAAGUCAAAAAUCCAGCAGACAGGUUUGGUGGCAUAGGCCGCUGGAGUGGGCGUGCCUACAGGUAGGUCACAUGAACAAGAUGGCGGCGACCAUAAGCCACUGUUUUGUCUGUUUAUCUGCUUGUUGGCUGCAACCAGAAAGGUUCCUCUAUGCAUUUCCCAUGGGUGAGGCAAGUGGAAAACUGGCAAAAAGCUCCUCUACAGAUGCACGUCUGCCCGUGGGAGUUGCCAGGGGCCUGGCCCCGAAGGGGACACAGCUGUCCCCGAAACCGAAAAAGGACCCAGUAGUCCAAACUGAAAAAGCAAAAAGCACCGCUCCUGGAGCGGGAUCCCAUGCCUGACCCUCAGGAAAUGAACUCAAGUGAAAGAAGAAAUAAAAAGCAAGAUGUCUGGUGGCAGUGCUUGCCUAUGCAAGUCACUGAACUGAGUGGGCAGGCCUAAGCUAGGUCACCUGGUUAGGAUGGCACAUGACCAAGAUGGCGGCCCCCAGGUUAGCGCACAUGGCUGAGAUGGCGAACCCCUUAAGCACAUUCUCAAUUGCCGGAAGAAGUUUUUUCUCCAUGAGUGAGGCAGUAACAAACAAACAAACAAAACUCUCAGAGCGUCUCAAGCAGACACUGCCAAGAAGAAACACAGUCAGAGAUAGACAAAAAGAUGAGGGACAUUCCCAGGUGAAAGAAAACUCCGCUCAUUUACCUACUCGCUGGCAGUAACUGAAAGAUCCCAUAAAAUGUAUUUCCCGUGGGCAAGGCCAAAAAUGGCACAGAUUGUUCUUUUUGAGAGCACCAGGCAGAAAGCCCAAAAGAGGCUCAGCAGUCCGAAACCGAAAAAAAUGUACCCAGAGUGAACUCCAAAAUGCAGUGCUGGGUCUGCCCCAUGGGAAAAGUUAUGGGUAUCUUACCGGAUUGUAGCGAACAGGCAGAUGAGUGAGUUCCAGAGAUCCUUAGUUGGAAAAGCGGCGAGUUGAAGUGUACAGAGUUCUGGCAUCUCAGGCUGCUGCAGGCAGGAGGAAGUGCCAGGAAAAGCCGAGAUGGAAGUGGGUUAUGAGUUCAGAUUUUAGUAUCCCCGGAAUUUCCUGUGCACCUGACAGGAGAAGUUAGAAAGCCUAUUGUUAGACCCCCAGAAAACUCAGGCCUCCGGGGUCUUAGCCCAGGACCUCGGUCACCCCAAUCACCAGGUGGACUCGAAAGCUUGCUGCAAACUGCAUGAGGCUUUAUUGUAGUUUAACCCCAUGUGAGCUCGGGUCUUUCACCCACCGGCCAUGGCGGAUGGCUAGCAAAGACAGCUCGAACCGGCUGCCGAGAGAUUUUGUAGGGCAGCAUAGGGGAGUGUCUAGGGGUACGCACAGGCUCAGGAUUGGUGUGCCACCAGGCUUGGAGGGCUUGCCCUGUAUUGAUUGGUCAACUGGUUGUUAUGGCCCAUAGGCCCUUCCAGGGUGGUUGCUAUGCUCUGUGCAUCAUUGCUGUGCACUUGUCUGUAAAGCACACCCAGAGCCAUAAAGCAUAGCACCGCCAGCUAACUUCUGAUUGGUUCCUUGCCACGAGGCAGGCAUCUGACUUCUAGUGACUAGGACAAGGUCAUGGCAAGCACGAGUUACUGUCAUGGCUGCCGAAAUGGGGAGCUGGUCCCUUCACUAUCCCACCAGCAAGCAUCGAAAGAGUUUACGGAGAGAGCCUAAACCAAGUCAGGCGCCAAUGUUAUGUUUUUCUUUAAAAAAAGGAAAAGAGAAAGAUUUAAGAUGAGACAUGCAUUAUGCUGGCCUGCCCCUGUUACCUGGUGGAACAGGCAGUACCCUGGUCAGCCCAAGGUUCUAUGGCAACUAAGUCUGCACGCAGGUGCAGAGGACCUCUUUUAAAAGACAGAUCCCCGGGGCUGGAGAGAUGGCUCAGAGGUUAAGAGCACUGACUGCUCUUCCAGAGGUCCUGAGUUCAGCAACCAUAUGGUGGCUCACAACCAUCCAUUAUAAGAUCUGGUGCCCUCUUCUGGUGUGCAGAAGUACAUGGAAGCAGAAUAUUGUAUACAUAAUAAAUAAAGUCUAAAAAAAAAAAAAAGGAUAGAUCCCUGCCCAUUUACACUCUCUGCUUCCUCUCUACUCUGUCUCUCACCUACACGCUCUCCCUGCCUCUCUAUGGCGACCGGCCAUGGCGGUCAGCCAUUACCCCUGUUCCUCUUCUCUCUUAGUCUCCCUACUCUGCCGGGCCCAUAUAAUAAACUAGUCAAUAUGUCUCAUUCGCCUCUUUUUCUCUUUUUCUUCAAAAAACAUAGCACUGUGUCCAUCUAGCACAUCUCCCUUCCUUCCUUCCUUCCUUCCUUCCUUCCUUCCUUCCUUCCUUUCUUUUUCUUUUUUGGGUUUUCAAGACAGGGUUUCUCUGUGUAGUAGCCUUGGCUGUCCUGGAAUUUGCUCUGUUGACCAGGCUGGCCUUGAACUCACAGAGAUCUGCCUGCAUCUGCCUCCCAAACACUGGGAUUAAAGGAGUGUACCACCACUGCCCAGCAGACCUGUACCUUCUUAAAGGUCUAUAUAACCCCCUUUUCCUAUCUUAAUUUGCUAUAUGAUCUACACCCCAAACUCUGGGAGAUUGAAACUAGCAUUUUCUCUGAUGGUGAGGCAGGUUCUGAGGCCCAUGGAGAAAUUCUUGGCAAGUUUUUCUGUAGCUGUGACCUGUAGGCCAUGCCUGCCUGAUCUCUGUGUAGGUUCUUGCCUUGUGCCACCUGUAAUCUUGCCAGCCACAAAAUGGCAUUUGGACUAUGCUGCCAGAAAAAAGUUAAGUUUAUGUGCACCUGAUGGCCUUCCCCAUGUGACAAAAAGAGUCUCCUACUUUAACCUAGGAAGAAAGGAAAAUUUUGUGGUCUCUUCCCCCCCGCCCCCCCCCCCCCCCCCCCCGCCUUUUGUAAUGUAGUCUCCCUGGGAUUCAGAGUCAGGGUUCAGGAAGGAAGGAAGCAGAAGUGAGAGAGAGCAACAUGGAAGCUCAAACCCCCGGGAACUGGGGUGGAGAUGUAUAUACACUCUCUGUCUGUCCCAGAAGAGCAGGCUACCUCUGAGAUGUCAUUUCCUGUCUUGGUCUGUCAGUCCAGAGCACCCUGGAGGAGUGGAGGAAAAAGCGCAAAUCAACAUGAAAUGAGCAAUCAUGGCUGCCCAGCCAAGGUCACAAUCUAUUUCUUCCCUCCCAACUGGGCUUGCCCUCUCAGCCAAAUGGACCCUGAUAAACAAUAAUGGAAAGAGAGGUGUUGGAGCCGAGUAAAUUUCCAUUAGGGGAUUUCUCAGGGUCCAAACCUCUGGAGCUCUGGUCUGCUUUGUAUUGCAGAAGCUAGCUGAUUUGCUGUUGAAUGGCACAGCCUCAGUGGAGAAUGUCCCCUAGUUUUGCAUCUCUACAGAACUAAGCAUUUGAAUAGGCCUGCACCGGGGCAGAGGGCUAGAUUUACUGACAGUGAGGGGAUAGAGAGGAGGUAUGGGGGCCUGCAGAGAGGUCCACUGGAGGAGAGACAGUUGAGAGAUCUGCUGAUAGGGUCUAGGAAUAUGGAAGAGAAACAGUCUCGGGGUCAGGGAAGAAUGAUUAGAUUACAGCCAGUGAAAGGCCCGCUGCCUCUCUGUCUCCCCUGCCGGUGCUGGGUGUUCUCUCUGGAGCAGCCGGGAUGAGCUGGGAAGGAUGGGGGCGAGAGGAGCAGUUGACCGAGGGCAGCGCGGCG